rnacentral:tRNA from 1 species
GCUGGUGUAGCUUAAACUAAAGUAUGGUACUGAAGAUACUAAGAUGGACCCCGGGAUGUCCCGCCAGCA